AACUAGAUACGAAUUGUAGUAAUUUGACGUAUUGUUGAAAAAAGUAGGUCAAGUUAGAGCAGAGAAAAUAAAUGAUAGUCACAAAAAAAUAUCUUCUCGGCUUUGCAUCGAAGCGAAAACUUAAAAUAUAGUAAAAUAAUUUUAAUACGAAUAAGAAAUUUCUUCUUGCAAGGGGCGACUAAAGUGAUGGGAUCCUUGAUCUUUAUUGAAGUUAUUGAAUCUAAAUGUGAUAAAAAUCAAACGAGUUAAAAUUUAUACUAACUUAAAAAGAAUUAAGAAAAAAUGCAAAAAAUUCAUUGCCAUAUGCGGGUUGGAACCUCGUACCCCAAGCGUGUAAAACAUAAAUUUUACCAACUCGGCAACCGUACGUUGCUUCCGGCGGUUGAAAAAUUGGCUAUUUAAGCUAGUUCAAAUUUCAAAGUUAUUUUUCUCGACUUAAAAGAAACAAACAUAUUUAAAUAAGUUUAACUAUCUAUACUAUAUCAAUUUUAAUUUAUAUAAUAUUUAUGAAAAUCUGUACUCCCCUUGUCAGGUAUUUUAAAAUAAAAUAAAAUACAAAACCCAGAAUUUUAACACAAAAAUAGCAUAUUUUUGCAUACGGUAGUCAUUUUUACCAUGAAGACAAAUCCAGAGGUCAAAUUUUUUUUUUUCACAUUAAAGUAUAUUACAUAAGCUUUAAUUUAAGAUAUAUUUAAAAGUGUCAGUAUUUCCGGAAUACUUUCAAAAAUUAAAUUGAAAAUAUCGUAGUAACAAUACGCAUGUUUAAAGUUUUGACCCCCCUUGUUAAAGGGGUAUGAUCCGAUUUACAAAAAAAGCGUGCCAGAUGAAAGGGGUAUAUCAAUAUUUAUUAUAAAAAAAUAAUAAUAUAGAUCCAUACAUUUUUCCAAAAGUUAUAUAAAAUAUAAAUUAAAUAAUAUAACAUAUAAAAUCGAGAUUUUUUUCACGGAAAUCGUACGUUUUUCUUUAACUUUGAUGUCCGUUUUCACCACGAAGACAAGUCCAGAGGUCAAAUUUUUUUUUUUCAAAUUAAAGUAUAUUACAUUAGCUUUAAUUUAAGGUAUAUAUAAAAUUGUCAGUCUUUCCGGAACAUUUUCAAAAGUUAAGUUGAAAAAGUUAAUUUUUUGUAAAAAAGUUACCAUUUUGAAACCCCAUCCUUUGGGCUGUUAAAGGGUCAAAUGUUCACAAAAAUAUAUAAAAUGAUAGGUAAUUAUCUAAGGUAUCUAUAAAAAAAAAAAUUAUAUUGAUUCGGUCAUUUUUAAAAAAGUUAUGGCAAUUUUAAGUAAAAAAAAUUGAAAAAAUAUCGAAAAUUAGCGAUUUUUAAAUUUGUAAUUUUUUGGGGGAUUUCCCCCGUUUACGGGGAACGAGGGAAUUUUUUUCAAUUUUUGAGGGUAAUGUCUUCGACUAGAUACGAUUUGUGAUCUUUUGACAUAUUGUUCAUCAAAAUCGGUCCAGCGAGAGCUGAGAUUGAGCGUUCACAGACACAAAAAAAAAAAUAAAAAAAAAAAAAAAAAAAUAAAAAAA